AUGGGGUCGGCCACUAUGACCGUGCGCGAGGUGCUGUACAUGUACAGCAUCGCCCGGGAGGCGUACGAGCGGUUCAUCUCCGUGGGCGACAACCUGGAGCAGGCCCAGAACGCGGUGGCGCUGCUGGUGUGGCUUGACCAGGGCACCAUCUCCGCCAUCCACCAUGUCCCCGGCCUUGAAACCAGCGCCGUGGCCAUCGUCGCGGAGGAGGCCAACGCCGUCCUCGAGUGCCUCCGCUACCCGGUGCCCAUGCUCCCACCCAUCCCGUUCAUCUCCACGCUCUGCAUGCAAGGCGGCGUCUACAUCGAGCCUGGCUUCUUCGCCUUCCACCAGGACUUGGUGGUCCGUGGGGUUGCCCACUUCCUUGAUGGCGCCGGUAAGUUGGUCUUCAACGACCGCUUGAAUGUAUUGCUCAAGAGGUAUGAGACUGGACUGGUUGGGAACCCGCCGGAGCUCAUGGCGCCCUACAGCCCGCUACCGGUGUUGGUGCCGGAGGACUGCCGCUCCAUGUUCAUCACCUUCUCCAAGGACAUGCAUCUCCAUCGCGAAGAGAUCUUUGACUACUUCAGGGAGAAAUGGGGUGAUUGCGUGGUGAGGGUGCUCAUGGAGAAGACGACAGGCGGCAACAUGCCCAUGUAUGGCCGGAUCAUCUUCAAGACAGAGGCGGUCGUGAAGCUGGUGCUCAACGGUGAGAGGCUCGUCAAGAUCUCCAUCGACCACCGUGAGAUGUGGAUGCGCAAAUACAUUCCCAGGCCAACCAACGUCAUCGCCUAG
rnacentral:rRNA from 1 species